rnacentral:rRNA from 1 species
UACGGAGGGUGCAAGCGUUAAUCGGAAUUACUGGGCGUAAAGCGUGCGCAGGCGGUUUGUUAAGUCUGUUGUGAAAUCCCCGAGCUCAACUUGGGAAUUGCAAUGGAUACUGGCAGGCUGGAGUAUGGUAGAGGAAGGUGGAAUUCCCGGUGUAGCAGUGAAAUGCGUAGAGAUCGGGAGGAAUACCCGUGGCGAAGGCGGCCUGCUGGGAUACACCUGACGCUGAGACACGAAGGCGUGGGGAGCGAACGGG